ACAUGGGUUUGGAUUUAUGGUAGGCCUAUCCCCCGGGCCUCUCAUAGUGUCCCAUGCCAGAGCAAACUGGCCCCGCACCAUUGCCAGGCCUCUGCCCUUAGGCUGCAGGCACUGAAGUGGGUUGCACGGGG